CCAGUGACUCUGUUCAACGGCCGCGGUAUCCUAACCGUGCGAAGGUAGCGUAAUCACUUGUUCUUUAAAUGAGGACUAGUAUGAAUGGCACCACGAAGGUUAUACUGUCUCCUUUCUUUAAUCAGUGAAACUAAUCUCUCCGUGAAGAAGCGGGGAUAUAAUUAUAAGACGAGAAGACCCUAUGGAGCUUUAAACGUGAGUAACAAUUGCCCGCCAUAAUAUUUUUCCCCGGAAAUUAACCACAAUACUUAGGCAUCUUGAUUACAAGUUUUAGGUUGGGGCGACCGCGGAGCAGAGAAUAACCUCCGCAGUGAAUGGAACUUAUUUCCUAAACCCAGGGCUACGACCCUAAGCAUCAAUAAAUUGACACUAAUUGACCCAAUAUUUUUGAUCAAUGAACCAAGUUACCCUAGGGAUAACAGCGCAAUC
rnacentral:rRNA from 1 species